rnacentral:lncRNA from 1 species
GUGUUCACAGUAUAACAUAUAGCUUACAAUUACUUCAUGCUUUAGGGCAGUACAUUUGAGAAAAAAAUUGUUAAAAUUUCCCCUGCUCAUAUAUCUCUUAAUAAGGAUACAUAUUGUACACUCGGAAUAUCUCAGCAAUAAAAAUUACUGUAUAAGAUCUAGAUCUAUCAUUAUUCUUAUACAUUUCACACCUUUACCAGACUUGCUUGUACCACAUGUCUAAAUUUAGUAAUCAAAUAAGAAAAUCAACUAAUUUGUCAUCCAACAUAGUGGUCCAGGGAUGUAACUCAACUAAAAUGAUAUCAAUUGAAAUCUAUCCUAUGACUAUUGCCCUUGGAUAAUUUUUGUAAAGGAAUCAUCUCAAAGUUUAAAUGUGAGGUUAAGUUUGAGAUGACCCCCUGCAGAUAUUUAAAUGAAAUGUAUUGCUAAAUGUUGAUGACAUUUUUACUGCGAAUUUAGAAAAAAGUGCCGAAAGUGUAAAAUUUUACAUACAAUGUUAAAUUGGUCCUAAAG